GGUUGAUCCUGCCAGUAGUCAUAUGCUUGUCUAAAAGACUAAGCCAUGCAUGUCUAAGUAUAAGCAAUUAUACUUGCGAAACUGCGAAUGGCUCAUUAAAUCAGUUAUAGUUUAUUUGAUAAUAUCUUCCUACAUGGAUAACUGUGGUAAUUCUAGAGCUAAUACAUGCACUAAGCCCCGACUUUUUGGAAGGGGUGUGUUUAUCAGAUCUUAAGCCAACCCGCUUCGGCGGUGUGUGGUGAGUCAUAAUAACCUGACGAAUCGCAUGGCUUCGUGCUGGCGAUACAUCAUACAAGUUUCUGACCUAUCAUACUUUCGAUGGUAGUAUAUAGGACUACCAUGGUUGUGACGGGUAACGGAGAAUUAGGGUUCGAUUCCGGAGAGGGAGCCUGAGAAACGGCUACCACAUCCAAGGAAGGCAGCAGGCGCGCAAAUUACCCAAUCUCGACACGAGGAGGUAGUGACAAGAAAUAACAGUGCGGGACUUUUGUCUCCGUAAUUGGAAUGAGUACAAUUUACAACCCUUAACGAGGAUCAAUUGGAGGGCAAGUCUGGUGCCAGCAGCCGCGGUAAUUCCAGCUCCAAUAGCGUAUAUUAAUGUUGCUGCGGUUAAAAAGCUCGUAGUUGGAUUUCGGGGUGAGAGUCGAGGGUUUCCUUCGGGAAGCGCCACGAAUCUUGUCCUUUGUCCAAGGGACGGCAUGUUCUUAAUUGGGCGUGUGCAGUAACUUGGGCCGGUUACUUUGAGAAAAUUAGAGUGUUCAAAGCAGGCCAAUGCCUUGAAUACGUUAGCAUGGAAUAACGAAAUAGGACUUUGGUUCUAUUUUGUUGGUUUGAGGACCGAAGUAAUGAUUAAUAGGGAUAGUUGGGGGCAUUAAUAUUUGAUUGUCAGAGGUGAAAUUCUUGGAUUUAUCAAAGAUUAACUACUGCGAAAGCAUUUGCCAAGGAUGUUUUCAUUAAUCAAGAACGAAAGUUAGGGGAUCGAAGACGAUCAGAUACCGUCGUAGUCUUAACCAUAAACUAUACCAGCUAGGGGUCGGUGGAGUGUUUUACAUCUCUAUCGGUACCUUCCGAGAAAUCAAAGCUUUUGGGUUCCGGGGGGAGUAUGGUCGCAAGGCUGAAACUUAAAGGAAUUGACGGAAGGGCACCACCAGGAGUGGAGCCUGCGGCUUAAUUUGACCCAACACGGGAAAACUUACCAGGUCCAGACAUAGUAAGGAUUGACAGAUUGAGAGCUCUUUCUUGAUUCUAUGGGUGGUGGUGCAUGGCCGUCCUUAGUUGGUGGAGUGAUUUGUCUGCUUAAUUGCGAUAACGAACGAGACCUUAACCUGCUAAAUAGAUGCAGUAAUCUUCGGAUUGUUGUACGCUUCUUAGAGGGACAAUACAAGACAAUUGUAUGGAAGUUUGAGGCAAUAACAGGUCUGUGAUGCCCUUAGAUGUUCUGGGCCGCACGCGCGCUACACUGACGGAAUCAACGAGUUUUCCUUGACCGAGAGGUUCGGGUAAUCUUCUGAAAUUCCGUCGUGCUGGGGAUAGACUCUUGUAAUUUUUAGUCUUGAACGAGGAAUUCCUAGUAAGCGCGAGUCAACAGCUCGCGUUGAUUACGUCCCUGCCCUUUGUACACACCGCCCGUCGCUCCUACCGAUUGGAUGAUCCGGUGAAAUUUUCGGACUGUCGCGUGUUGGUGGCAACACCUCACGUGAUAGGAAGUUACUUAAACCUUAUUAUCUAGAGGAAGGAAAAGUCGUAACAAGGUU
rnacentral:rRNA from 1 species